CUAUCUUCUCUCUCCCCUCUCCCCACUCCUCACCUCACCAAACUAUUCUAACCUUCUUCAUGUUUAACCAAUAGUGCCGUAACAUCGUUCACUUCUCCCUUCUCAUUUUUCUUUCAUUUGUCAUUACGUUUCUACAUCGUGUCGUCGUACAUAUUUCUAGGUUAGGUUUACUUCGCUUAAAGGUUAUACCUUUCUCUAGUUACGUAUAACUCGUAAAUGUAAUAACGUUAUCUAUACAUUUUAAAUCUACGUUGUAUUUCUCCAGGGAUGUAGGGAUGAAGGGAGAGGAGAGGAGAGGAUGGAUUAAGACGAUCAUUUUUUUUCUUUUUUUUAAUAAUUUUAAUCAAUAAAUUUUAAUAAAUAUCUUUUACUUUAUAAUAUUUAAAUAGAUAUUUAUAGGUCGAAAGGGUUGACGAAGGGUAGCAGGUGGGGGAGGGAAAAAAAUUUUGGUAAAAUUUCGAUGAAACCUGUUUUAAUACGUUACUGAGUCAUAAGAUACGACGCAUGUGUUGUGUCUCGUUAGGUUAAAUAGUCAUUUCGAAUGAUUGUGAUGAUGUUACUUAUGACGUUGCUGUUUUAUGAUAGGCGAUAGGUUAGACGAUUUGAUAUGUGUAUAUAUAUAUAUAUAUUUUUUUUUUUUAAAUAAUUUUUCCAUUUCAGAUACAAUUGUAUGUUAAAUACUUAAUUUACAUACGUAUAUUAUAAUUAUUAUCUAACAAUCUUAUUUUGCGUUUUAUUGUAAAAAAAAAAAAAGAAAAAAAAAAAGGAAAAUUACACAUGUGAUUAUAAACACACGAUAUCGAUUAUGAUAACCACGUUAAAGAGAUAUGAUUUUGUUAAAAUUGUUAACUGACGUGGAAAAAACAUGUGAGCGUGUUAAAAUGAUUCGCAAAAAGUUAUUCGACCUCGUUUUUUCGCAUUCAUGCUGUCUCAUUGUCUCUCUCUCUUAUCUAUAAUAUUUUUGGUUAUGUAUGAGUGCGUUUGAUAUAACAUAUCUUCGUAUUUACAUGCAUUCACACCAGAUGGCGAUAAUGAUGUUUUCCUUUUUUUUUUAUUUUUAUUAUUAUUAUUAUUAUUUUUAUUAUUAUUCUUUUUAUUAUUAUUACACAAAAGUUUUGUCAUAAAAAAAAAAAAAGAUAAU